GGUUUCUCAGUGUAGCCUUGGCUGUCCUGGAACUCACUCUAUAGACCAGGCUGGCCUCUAACUCAGAGAUUUGCCUGCCUCUGCCUCCUGAGUGCUGGGAUUAAAGGCAUGCGCUACCACUGCCC
rnacentral:miRNA from 1 species